rnacentral:rRNA from 1 species
GAUGAACGCUAGCUACAGGCUUAACACAUGCAAGUCGAGGGGAAACGAUAUUGGAAGCUUGCUUCCGAUAGGCGUCGACCGGCGCACGGGUGAGCAACGCGUAUCCAACCUGCCCGUCACUUGGGAAUAACCUUGCGAAAGUAAGACUAAUGCCCAAUGACAUUUAUAGAAGGCAUCUGAAAUGAAUUAAAGAUUUAUCGGUGAUGGAUGGGGAUGCGUCUGAUUAGCUUGUUGGCGGGGUAACGGCCCACCAAGGCGACGAUCAGUAGGGGUUCUGAGAGGAAGGUCCCCCACAUUGGAACUGAGACACGGUUCAAACUCCUACGGGAGGCAGCAGUGAGGAAUAUUGGUCAAUGGGCGAGAGCCUGAACCAGCCAAGUAGCGUGCAGGAAGACGGCCCUAUGGGUUGUAAACUGCUUUUAUAGGGGAAUAAAGUGAGCCACGUGUGGUUUUUUGCAUGUACCCUAUGAAUAAGGACCGGCUAAUUCCGUG